UUUUUUUUCUCCCAAGAAUCAAGCGUAGUAUCUGUUCUUAUCAGUUUCUCAUCAUCUUUUAUGUCCCUUAUCUGGCAUCAUAUAUUAAAUGGAUUUUAGAGAAAAGGGUGUGAUCUCACGUCUGCUUUUGUCACACUAUACGUGUGUACGUUAGGGCAGUUUCUGCGGGUUCAGUACACCCCAC